GAUAGGUCGCUGUCGCUACGGUGAUUGGACACUGACACUGAGUCAACUAGCCUUGUGCGCGCGGUUCUUCGCGCGCGGAACCGGAGGACGGUCCGAGCCACGAGGGGGGAGGCUCGGACCGUCCGUA
rnacentral:ncRNA from 1 species